UGGACCAGUGAUGAGCAUUCUUGGGUGUCUGAAUCAAUGAUUGUGAUUAAAUUUUAUAACUCUGAGGUCAGA